rnacentral:rRNA from 1 species
GAUGAACGCUAGCGGCAGGCCUAAUACAUGCAAGCUGAACGGCAAGAUUUGUAGCAAUACGAGUCCUAGAGUAGCGUAAGGGUGCGUAACACGUAUGCAAUCUGCCCGCAACAGGAGGAUAGCUUAGCGAAAGUUGAGAUAAGACUCCAUAAGAUCACGAGAGGGCAUCUGAUUGUGAUUAAACUACGAAGGGGUUGCGGAUGAGCANGCGUCUGAUUAGUUAGUUGGCGGGGUAACGGCCCACCAAGACGAUGAUCAGUAGGGGAACUGAGAGGUUCGGUCCCCACCA